rnacentral:RNase_P_RNA from 1 species
CAGGUGGGAUGACCUGUCGCUGAGUCAUUCAGAGGAAAGUCCGGACUGGAAAGGGCAACCUGCUGUGGAAAGCACAGAUGGGAGUGAUCUUAUGAAUGCCGUAACAGAAAACAAACCGCCCUGCAAAGGGUAAGGAUGAAACCGCGAGGUAAGAGCUCACGACGUCGUAUGGCGACAUGCGGCGGUGACGGCACCAGGACCAGCAAGGCCAAAUAUACUGGAACAUCCGCAAGGAUAAAAGGGCUGCCCGCUCUUUUCCAGGGGGUAGGCUGCGAAGAUAAAUGACGGGAUAAAACAGAAACCGGCUUACGGUUCCACCUGACGC